rnacentral:rRNA from 1 species
AUACGGAGGAUCCGAGCGUUAUCCGGAUUUAUUGGGUUUAAAGGGUGCGCAGGCGGCCAUUUAAGUCAGCGGUUAAAUCGUGGGGCUCAACCCCAUUCUGCCGUUGAUACUGGGUGGCUUGAUUGCGGUCGAGGUUGGCGGAAUUCGUUGUGUAGCGGUGAAAUGCAUAGAUAUGACGAAGAACACCGAUUGCGUAGGCAGCUGACCAGACCGCAAAUGACGCUCAUGCACGAAAGUGCGGGGAUCGAACAGGAUUAGAUACCCUGGUAGUCCGCACAGUAAACGAUGAAUACUUGUUUUCGGCGAUAUAAUGUCGGAGGCAAGGCGAAAGCGAUAAGUAUUCCACCUGGGGAGUACGCCGGCAACGGUGAAACUUAAAGGAAUUGACGGGG